GAGCCAGACUCCUACGGGAGGCAGCAGUGGGGAAUAUUGCACAAUGGGGGAAACCCUGAUGCAGCGACGCCGCGUGAGCGAUGAAGUAUUUCGGUCUGUAAAGCUCUAUCAGCAGGGAAGAAAAUGACGGUACCUGACUAAGAAGCCCCGGCUAACUACGUGCCAGCAGCCGCGGUAAUACGUAGGGGGCAAGCGUUAUCCGGAUUUACUGGGCGUAAAGGGAGCGUAGACGGCGGUGCAAGCCAGAUGUGAAAGCCCGGGGCUCAACCCCGGGACUGCAUUUGGAACUGUGCUGCUAGAGUGUCGGAGAGGCAGGCGGAAUUCCUAGUGUAGCGGUGAAAUGCGUAGAUAUUAGGAGGAACACCAGUGGCGAAGGCGGCCUGCUGGACGAUGACUGACGUUGAGGCUCGAAAGCGUGGGGAGCAAACAGGAUUAGAUACCCGCGUA
rnacentral:rRNA from 1 species